rnacentral:rRNA from 1 species
GAUGAACGCUGGCGGCGUGCCUAAUACAUGCAGGUCGAGCGAACGGACGAGAAUCUUGCUUCUCUGAUGUUAGCGGCGUACGGGUGAGUAACAUGUGGAUAACCUACCUAUAAGACUGGGAUAACUUCGUGAAACUGGUGCUAAUACCGGAUAAUAUUUUGAACCGCAUGGUUCAAAAGUUAAAGACGGUCUUGCUGUCACUUCUAGAUGUAUCCGCGCUGCAUUAGCUAGUUGGUAAGGUAACGGCUUACCAAGGCAACGAUGCAUAGCCGACCUGAGAGGGUGAACGGCGACACAGGAACUGAGACACGGUACAGACACCGAGGGGAGGCAGAAGUAGGGAAUCUAGCGAAAUGGGCGAAAGACUGAAGGAGCAACGGCGCGUGAGUGAAGAAGGGCUUCGGGUCGGAAGACGCUGUUAUUAGGGAAGAACAUAUGUGGAAGGAACGGUGCACAUCGUGACGGUACCUGAACAGGAAGCAACGGCUAACUACGUG